rnacentral:rRNA from 1 species
UGCGUAGGUGGUUUCUUAAGUCAGAGGUGAAAGGCUACGGCUCAACCGUAGUAAGCCUUUGAAACUGGGAAACUUGAGUGCAGGAGAGGAGAGUGGAAUUCCUAGUGUAGCGGUGAAAUGCGUAGAUAUUAGGAGGAACACCAGUUGCGAAGGCGGCUCUCUGGACUGUAACUGACACUGAGGCACGAAAGCCAGGGUAGUGAACG